rnacentral:misc_RNA from 1 species
GAUGAAGAACGCAGCGAAAUGCGAUAAGUAAUGUGAAUUGCAGAAUUCAGUGAAUCAUCGAAUCUUUGAACGCACAUUGCGCCCGCCAGUAUUCUGGCGGGCAUGCCUGUCUGAGCGUCAUUUCAACCCUCAUGCCCCUAGGGCGUGGUGUUGGAGAUCGGCCAAAGCCCGCGAGGGACGGCCGGCCCCUAAAUCUAGUGGCGGACCCGUCGUGGCCUCCUCUGCGAAGUAGUGAUAUUCCGCAUCGGAGAGCGAUGAGCCCCUGCCGUUAAACCCCCAACUUUCCAAGGUUGACCUCAGAUCAGGUAGGAAUACCCGCUGAACUUAAGCAUAUCAAUAAGCGGAGGA